ensembl:processed_transcript Trmt61b tRNA methyltransferase 61B
GGACGUCAGGCUCUCUAAGGACGACGUGGUUCUUCCUUGUGAGGUUGAGGCGCCCGAGAGGCGAUCAGAGCUCAGAGCCGAUUCAUUCCUGCUUGACUUUGGGUCGGUGCCUCGUGAGCGAGCUCAUUUCCCGGGGUUGCGGGUCCUUGCCUGGGGACACGCGAGUUGGAGAGCGCGUGCACCGGUCGUUCCCUUCCCGUGCUGCCCGCGUCCGGAUCGUCGGGACCCGGUUGUCUCUAGUAUGUGGAAAGGCUCGGGCUGGGAACUUCGAGGGAGGAGUUACCCCCUCGAGAUCCGGAGGACCAGAGCGGAGAGCAGGGCCACUGAGACCCUACAGGAUGUGACUCCGAGGAUCGCGUGCUGGACACGAGUGGCUACCGAGCCCGGAGAGCUUCGCGCUGCCUCCUCCUGGUCCCUUUCCAGAGAAGGACUCUUUUCAGUCGGGGAUGCUUAUUAAAGCUCUGGCGGGAAAGAGAGAAUCACAAUUAAAGAAAUUAUUCCUACUCUGCAACGUCGGACACUUUAAUAGUAACUGGGGAGCGAUUGCGUUCAGGGAGAUCGAGGACAAGUAUCCUGGCCAGAUCCUGACAUGUUUUCCCGGUAAGAGUUCUCUGCGGAGGCCACCUUUGGAGGACUCUGUAUAUUGAUGGAAGAGGGACCGCCCGAACCUAUCCCAAAAGUAUUGUCAUGGGAAUUAGGUGUGUGUGGGUUCCAGGAAGGGCGAGGACGGACGGCGCACUACCACAGUCCGAUGAAUGUUCUCAUCACCGACCUUUGGAGUUUUUCAGCAUGUUGGAUUUUUAAACAUGUUCAGGUUGGAAAAUUGAGAGUGUAAUGUUAACAGUAAAGUUUAACCUUUUAAGCUGGUGGAGGAAGUUCAGACCACACCUGAACUGGUACCUGAGAUGACAGCACUGAAUCUGAAGACAAAGAAGGAUCAAAUUAGAACUGACUAUUAUUAGUCACUACUUCAGAAAGUCUUUUUACCUUAUUUUGGGUUUCUGGAUUAAGAGAGUAGCAGACCAUCCUCAGAAGUCUCUGGCCGCUUACAGGAAGAGGAAGUGGGAGGAUUACUGGGAGAAUUCAUGAGACCUCAACUUCUCACAAAAGAAUAUAUUCUUUGAGAAAAGAGGAACUGUGGCUUUUUUACCCUGGCUGAGAAGCGUUUAUAAUUAUAGAUGAAUGACUGUAAGGUGUGGAGAUCAGAGAACAAUGGAAGCCUGUUCCCUUCUUCCCUUCCACAUGUGAAACCUGGGAUCAUCUUAGCCAUCGGCUUUACCAGCCGAUGCAGUUUGUCAAUUUUAAGAGGCAGAAAUGGAAUCUGGUGCAAGAUAAUUCAUCUUUGAAGAAAUGCUGUUCUAAGGGUAUUAUUUUUCUAUUACUUUCUCCUCUCAAGGAACAGGAUUUGUGGGGGAGGGGUGGAGUGGACCUUUCCUCCUAAUUCCUCUCUAGUCUACUUAUUAUUCAAACAAAAAUAUAACCAUGUAUAUAUAAAUAACUUCAAAUUUUACUUAGAUUUAUAAUUAGCAUUUAAUUUUGGGAAAAUUGAUUAGGAUUGCAAGAUCAACAAAAUCAAGAAUAAUAUCUAUCCCAGAGUGGUGGUGCAAACCUUUAAUCUGCACUUGGGAAGCAGAGGCAGGAAGAUCUCUGUGAGUUCAAGGCUGGUCUGGUCUACUCCAGGCUAGCCAGUGCUAUAUGGUGAGACCUGUCUCAAAACAAAAACAAAAAGAAAAUGCAACAAAGACCAACAAAAAACAAAAACAACUCUGGUUUUGAAUCGAAAGCAUUAAAUAGAUAAUCUCAAAAUUGUUGAAAACUAUCAGAAUAUAAGUAAAUCCCCUUCAUUUUAUUAACAAGGCAAAAGUUCUUUAUGUUCAUUUUGCAUGUUAUAAAUUAUAAAAUUGUAAUUAAUAUUUGGAAAAUUGUAGGGAUAACUAUUGAUUUUUCUGAGAAUUCGUUUUGUUAAUUCUGUUUCUAUUUCACAAGGUAGCUAAAAUAGUAGAAUCAGGUGUUUUCUUAGGACAGUGAAAAAUAUUCAAAAAGUUUGUGGUUAAGGGCUGGAGAUGACUAACAAAAUAGGAAUUUGGCUUGUUGAUCCCAGUAUUGGCAGGUCAAGGCGGAAGGAUAGAAACUCAAGGUCAUCCGUGGCUACAUAAAGAGUUGAAGGCUAGCCUGGCCUAGGUGAGACCCUUUCUAAAACAAAGUCAGGGGAGUAAAGAAAAGUUUGUGGGUAAUAAUUUUAUUUUUAAUUAGGAGAAAUGGAAACAUGUUAACAUUCUCUAUUCUGAUGGGGAAAUCUUUAUAACUUAUUUAUAUUCCUUACAUAUUUUAUGUCAUGUUUUAAUUUUGAUAUUCUUUAUAUCUUACCAAGUUUGUUUGAAUGCACAUAGCCUUCUUCUAUAAACAAGGAGGACUGUGGGUUGUGUGGUAUUAUUUGAUUUCUUAUCAGGAAACAUCAACACUAUCCCUUAUUCUAAUGUCUACCUUGCUGCCAUGCAUGCAAAACAGGCUCCUUUGUCUGGUAUAAAUACUACAAAGAAGUCUCUAUUUGUCUGUUAAUAAAUGGUUAAACAAA